rnacentral:rRNA from 1 species
GACGAACGCUGGCGGCGUGCCUAAUACAUGCAAGUCGAGCGGACUUUCAUUGGUGCUUGCACCUUUUAAAGUUAGCGGCGGACGGGUGAGUAACACGUGGGUGACCUACCCUGUAGAUUGGGAUAACUCCGGGAAACCGGGGCUAAUACCGAAUAACACUUUUGAACUCAUGUUCGAAAGUUAAAAGAUGGUUUCGGCUAUCACUACAGAAUGUGCCCGCGGCCCAUUAGCUGGUUGGUGAGGUAACGGCUCACCAAGGCAACGAUGCGUAGCCGACCUGAGAGGGGGAUCGGCCACACUGGGACUGAGACACGGCCCAGACUCCUACAGGAGGCAGCAGUAGGGAAUCUUCCACAAUGGACGAAAGUCUGAUGGAGCAACGCCGCGUGAGUGAAGAAGGAUUUCGGUUCGUAAAACUCUGUUGCAAGGGAAGAACAAGUAGCGUAGUAACUGGCGCUACCUUGACGGUACCUUGUUAGAAAGCCACGGCUAACUACGUGCCAGCCGCCGCAGUAA